rnacentral:hammerhead_ribozyme from 1 species
CACUGGCUGAUGAGUCCCAGAUAGGUCGAAAUGCGCAUCCUAGUG